rnacentral:tRNA from 1 species
UUCCGCUUCGUCUAGUGGCAGGACAUCGGAUCCUGACUCCGAAAACGGGAGUUCAACUCUCUCAGCGGAAA